GGGAAUUUGAGAUAAGAUGGUAACCGAAUACAGUUGGGCACUGUAAAGAGGAAGACAAUGUGAGAAGCCUCUUUGUGUAGAUUUUUAACGCUUUGGGAUGAUUUAUCCACAUCUGCACACCAGCAUAACAUCCUUGUCAGCCAGAACCAAGGCCAAUAAUAAGACUCCGUGAAUGAAGGAUAAUUACAAAAUUCCACUCUUUAUUAUCUUUGGUUGUGUUGUGUGACUGUGAAUUCUAGUGGGGUCUAACUUGAAUUCAGUGUUUAUUUCAUUGGACCAACAAAAAAUCUAGAAACAUGGAAGCCAAAGUUACUUGCACAGAGACAAACACCUGCCAUAAACAUUUGAACACUUUUAUAUCGAUAUUAGCAUCAUCCACUUUCCUAACCUGAAACAACAACACUUGCAAACGUUUGUUAUGAAUCUUGUGUUAUAGAACAAGUCAUGUUGAACUUUGUUUUAGUGUACCUGUGAAUGGGUUUGAGAAUAAUCCUUCUUCAAUCAUUCACAUCUCGUGUAAUGAUCUAGACCUUGGAAUAUCUGAUGAGCAGAAAUUCAACCUAUAUAUAUGUUCAGACAUGUUUGCUCUCAUAUGUGUUGAAGUAUUAGGCUUUAAAACGAACACAAAAUAAAAGGUUUCGCGAGGCGUGAGUAAUCACUGUCCGUAAGGACUUAUCCGCGGUGUAUUGCGUAAGUCCCCCAGAAUACAACAGGAACUUUCCGGAUGUUUCCGAAGAUCAGAACUAGCAAGUUACUCUUUAAAAGAGUAAUACCCAAUGGAACCCAAUAUAAUACUUAAAAAUAUAAUAAAGUAAGUGAGGAGAGAGAAAGUGAAAAAGAGAGAAGAAAAGAAGCUACGGUGGGUGAAGAAGAUGAAGAGAGUGAAU
rnacentral:lncRNA from 1 species